rnacentral:rRNA from 1 species
GACGAACGCUGGCGGCGUGCCUAAUACGUGCAAGUAGAACGCUGAAGGAGGAGCUUGCUUCUCUGGAUGAGUUGCGAACGGGUGAGUAACGCGUAGGUAACCUGCCUGGUAGCGGGGGAUAACUAUUGGAAACGAUAGCUAAUACCGCAUAACAGUAGAUAUCGCAUGAUAUCUACUUGAAAGGUGCAAUUGCAUCACUACCAGAUGGACCUGCGUUGUAUUAGCUAGUUGGUGAGGUAACGGCUCACCAAGGCGACGAUACAUAGCCGACCUGAGAGGGUGAUCGGCCACACUGGGACUGAGACACGGCCCAGACUCCUACGGGAGGCAGCAGUAGGGAAUCUUCGGCAAUGGACGGAAGUCUGACCGAGCAACGCCGCGUGAGUGAAGAAGGUUUUCGGAUCGUAAAGCUCUGUUGUAAGAGAAGAACGAGUGUGAGAGUGGAAAGUUCACACUGUGACGGUAUCUUACCAGAAAGGGACGGCUAACUACGUG